UACGUAGGUGUCAAGCGUUGUCCGGAUUUAUUGGGCGUAAAGCGCCCGCAGGCGGCUUGCCAAGUUCGAUGUGAAAUCUCCCGGCUCAACUGGGAGGGUGCAUCGAAAACUGGCAGGCUUGAGGCAGGGAGAGGGAUGUGGAAUUCCGAGUGUAGAGGUGAAAUUCGUAGAUAUUCGGAGGAACACCAGUGGCGAAGGCGGCUCACUGGCUCGAUACCGACGCUGAGGUGCGAAAGCGUGGGGAGCAAACAGG
rnacentral:rRNA from 1 species